rnacentral:ncRNA from 1 species
UUAUUGGAGAGUUUGAUCCUGGCUCAGGACGAACGCUGGCGGCGUGCCUAAUACAUGCAAGUCGAGCGAAUCAAUGGGAGCUUGC